rnacentral:rRNA from 1 species
GACGAACGCUGGCGGCGUGCUUAACACAUGCAAGUCGAACGGAAAGGCCCUGCUUUUGUGGGGUGCUCGAGUGGCGAACGGGUGAGUAACACGUGAGUAACCUGCCCUUGACUUUGGGAUAACUUCAGGAAACUGGGGCUAAUACCGGAUAGGAGCUCCUGCUGCAUGGUGGGGGUUGGAAAGUUUCGGCGGUUGGGGAUGGACUCGCGGCUUAUCAGCUUGUUGGUGGGGUAGUGUCUUACCAAGGCUUUGACGGGUAGCCGGCCUGAGAGGGUGACCGGCCACAUUGGGACUGAGAUACGGCCCAGACUCCUACGGGAGGCAGCAGUGGGGAAUAUUGCACAAUGGGCGGAAGCCUGAUGCAGCAACGCCGCGUGCGGGAUGACGGCCUUCGGGUUGUAAACCGCUUUCGCCUGUGACGAAGCGUGAGUGACGGUAAUGGGUAAAGAAGCACCGGCUAACUACGU